AAUGCGUAUGCCAGCUUCCUGCCCCUGCCUCCUCAGCACACUAAGUAAAAGCUAAUUGCAUUAACCCCAAGGGGAAACACUGCUGUGGGAAACAGUCCCAGUGCUCUAUUUGCUGCAAGUGGAUAAAGUCUUCCACACCAGACUGUACGUCUGGGACGUGUUACUGCCUCACACUCUGGGAGGGAAUGGACUCAUUGAGUUCGGGAACAGUCCCGCACGUGAGGGAGUGGAGAAGGGGUGGGUGGAGCCUCAAAGUUGUCAUCAAAGAUCAAAAUGGAACCUUUUUAUUGCAUGUGAUAAGGUCUUUUAAAAAAAAAAAAGACUUUAUUUUAGAGAGAGAGAGAGAGUGAGGGGAGGGACAGAGGGGGGUUGGGAGAGAGAGAAUCUCAAGCCCACUUGCCCUGAGCGUGGAGCGCCCUCCCGACUGGAUCUCACGAACCCAGCCAAAACCAAGAAUCCCACCGCUCAACCGACUAAGCCAUCCAGGCGCCCCAAGGGGAGGUCUUUUUAAGUGUGUUUGUAAGCAAGGGUCGCAGCUCCAUGAGUGGUUUCUCAGCCUCACGCCAACCCCCAACCCAGGGAAGACCUCAGACCCUCUAGUCCGGGUCUGGCAUGGCCUGAUCAGGCGCCCUCUUGCUCUUGAACAAGGGUGUCGCUCCACUGGAACCGACUCUGGAACUUCCUGCGCACACCUGUGUCCCCACGUUUAGAAGGAGCUGCAGGAAGACGCCACUGGCCCUCUAGAGCCUGGAGCAAGUUUUGUCUAAAAACCGAAGGUCGAAGGUCAGAAGAGGGAACCGGCUCCCGACCACCCGCAGAGACCCGUACUCCUAAGCAAUCGGACUUCCUGCCCUGUUGUCACUCAGGACCGGAGGGGCGGGUCCUUGCGAGCUGUCCAAUCAGGGGCGCAGCAGGGGCAGGUGGCUCUGCUGCCGCGUCCAUCGCGCGGUGAGUCGCGCGGGCUGCGGGAACCGUAGGGACAAUGCCGGCGGACCGAGAAGCACUGGAAAUGGACUCGGUGGCCUUGGAGGACGUGACUGUGAACUUCACCCUGAAGGAGUGGGCUCUCCUGAAUCCAUCCCAGAAGAAACUCUACAGAGAUGUGAUGCAGGAAACCCUCGGGAACUGGCCUCAAUAGUGCAGAGAUUAUUGUGCAUUUUAGAAGAAAAAUGGGAAGACCAUGACAAUGAAGAUCAGGACGAAAAUUCUGGGAUGAAUCUGAGCAGACAUACAGUAGAAAGACUCUAUAAAAGAAAACAAGGUUGUCAGUGAGGAAAAACCUUCAUCCAGAUUCCAAAUCGUAAUCAGAGGAAAACUCCUGGAAUAAAACUAUGUAAAUGCACUUUGUGUGGACAAGUGUUCUUGUAUCAUUCAUCCUUCAACAAGCACAUGAGCUCUCACGCUGGUCACAAACCAUGAGUAUCAGGAAUGGGAAGAGAAGCCUCUAGAAAUGCAAGUUGGUGCAGCCACUUUG